UAACACAUGCAAGUCGAACGAACUCUUCGGAGUUAGUGGCGGACGGGUGAGUAACACGUGGGAACGUGCCCUUUGGUACGGAAUAACUCAGGGAAACUUGAGCUAAUACCGUAUGUGCCCUUCGGGGGAAAGAUUUAUCGCCAUUGGAGCGGCCCGCGUCUGAUUAGCUUGUUGGUGAGGUAAAGGCUCACCAAGGCGACGAUCAGUAGCUGGUCUGAGAGGAUGACCAGCCACAUUGGGACUGAGACACGGCCCAAACUCCUACGGGAGGCAGCAGUGGGGAAUCUUGCGCAAUGGGCGAAAGCCUGACGCAGCCAUGCCGCGUGGAUGAUGAAGGUCUUAGGAUUGUAAAAUCCUUUCACCGGGGACGAUAAUGACGGUACCCGGAGAAGAAGCCCCGGCUAACUUCGUGCCAGCAGCCGCGGUAAUACGAAGGGGGCUAGCGUUGCUCGGAAUUACUGGGCGUAAAGGGCGCGUAGGCGGACAUUUAAGUCAGGGGUGAAAUCCCAGAGCUCAACUCUGGAACUGCCUUUGAUACUGGGUGUCUUGAGUGUGAGAGAGGUAUGUGGAACUCCGAGUGUAGAGGUGAAAUUCGUAGAUAUUCGGAAGAACACCAGUGGCGAAGGCGACAUACUGGCUCAUUACUGACGCUGAGGCGCGAAAGCGUGGGGAGCAAACAGGAUUAGAUACCCUGGUAGUCCACGCCGUAAACGAUGAUUGCUAGUUGUCGGGGUGCAUGCACUUCGGUGACGCAGCUAACGCAUUAAGCAAUCCGCCUGGGGAGUACGGUCGCAAGAUUAAAACUCAAAUGAAUUGACGG
rnacentral:rRNA from 1 species